AGGGUUUGAUCCUGGCUCAGAACGAACGCUGGCGGCGUGGUUUAGGCAUGCAAGUCGAACGAGAACGCUUCCUUCGGGAAGUUAUUAAAGUGGCGAAAGGGUGAGUAAUAUAUGGACGACCUGCCCUUGAGACGGGGAUAACAGUUCGAAAGGACUGCUAAUACCCGAUAGUUCUAUAUGCUUGCGGGCAUAUGGAUAAAUGGUGAUUCCGCUCAAGGAGGGGUCCAUUCCUAUCAGCUUGUUGGUGAGGUAACGGCUCACCAAGGCUAUGACGGGUAGCCGGACUGAGAGGUUGGCCGGUCACACUGGGACUGAGACACUGCCCAGACUCCUACGGGAGGCUGCAGUCGAGAAUCUUCCGCAAUGGGCGCAAGCCUGACGGAGCGACGCCGCGUGCAGGAAGAAGGCUUUCGGGUUGUAAACUGCUGUCACACGUUAAGAACCGUUACGGUCUACCGUAACCUGACAAAAGCGUGAGAGGAAGUCACGGCUAACCUCGUGCCAGCAGCCGCGGUAAAACGAAGGUGGCUAGCGUUGUUCGGAAUUACUGGGCAUAAAGAGCACGUAGGUGGUUUUGUAUGUCGAUGGUGAAAUCCUGCAGCUUAACUGCAGAACUGCCAUCGAAACUACUUAGCUAGAGGGCAGGAGGGGAGAGUGGAAUUCCUAGUGUAGCGGUGAAAUGCGUAGAUAUUAGGAGGAACGCCGGUGGCGAAAGCGACUCUCUGGACUGUUCCUGACACUGAGGCGCGAAAGCUAGGGGAGCAAACAGGAUUAGAUACCCUGGUAGUCCUAGCUGUAAACGAUGGGCACUAGGCAAGGGGGGUUCCGAUGCCGUCCUUGCCGUAGCUAAUGCGUUAAGUGCCCCGCCUGGGGAGUAUGGUCGCAAGGCUAAAACUCAAAGGAAUUGACGGGGGCUCACACAAGCGGUGGAGUAUGUGGUUUAAUUCGAAUCAACGCGCAGAACCUUACCCGGGUUUGAAAUGCAGGGAUUAACCUCGUGAAAGCGGGGGGAUUGCCUUUGGUGUAACCUGUAUAGGUGUUGCAUGGCUGUCGUCAGCUCGUGUCGUGAGAUGUCGGGUUAAGUCCCUUAACGAGCGAAACCCUUGUCUUUAGUUGCCAACAGGUAAUGCUGGGGACUCUAGAGAGACUGCCGUUGUUAAAACGGAGGAAGGUGGGGACGACGUCAAGUCAUCAUGGCCUCUAUGUCCGGGGCUACACACGUGCCACAAUGGCCGGUAUAAAGUGAAGCGAAGCCGCGAGGUGGAGCAAAUCAAUGAAAGCCGGUCUCAGUUCGGAUUGGGGGCUGAAACUCGCCCCCAUGAAGUCGGAAUCGCUAGUAAUCGCGGAUCAGCUACGCCGCGGUGAAUAUGUUCCUGAGCCUUGUACACACCGCCCGUCAAGCCACGAAAGCUGGUAGUACCCUACGUCGUGAACCUAACCUUCGGGAGGGAAGCGCCUACGGUAAAACCAGUGAUUGGGACUAAGUCGGAACAAGGUA
rnacentral:rRNA from 1 species